rnacentral:ncRNA from 2 species
CAAUAACUUCAGGGCGGGGUGCAAGUCCCCACCGGCGGUGAUGUUACCAUCGUAACUCAGCCCGCGAGCGCCUUGCUUAACACACAAGGGUCAGCAGAUCUGGUGAAACCCCAGAGCCGACGGUAAUAGUCCGGAUGGGAGAAGGUAACA